GGGGGGGGGGGGGUGUUGGCAGGCAGGCGGCGCAGGGAGAUAGGGAGAGAGAACACGUGCAUGUUAAAAGUAAUUAAAAUUUAGAAAAUUGAAAUUGUGUUUGUGUGCCUUUAUAGAUUCUGCAAAAAUAGCAAUUAUCUUGAAUAUUAAUAAAGAUAGAGAGCAGGAGAAAGAAAAAGGGGGGUGUGUGUGUGUAUUGGAUAUUGUGCAUGUGUCAGAAAUGCAGAUAUUAGAUAUAUGCAUGGCAACAUGAUAACUAAUAAGAUUAAGAAUAACUACAUCUGCCAGAGAAUGUACAUAGCACAUAACUACAUCUGCCAGAGAAUGCAUGUAGCA
rnacentral:misc_RNA from 1 species